AUGGGAAAGAAACCUGGAAAGUACCCUUGGCUGUGUACAUUUGAGUAAAGAGAGCACUAUAAAAUCAAAAACCAAUGAAAUGGUUUCCAGAACACAGAACUAUUAAGCUUAAGAAAAGGACAGAAGGAACUGAAGAGAGAGGAACUGUUUUGGAGCAUCACACUUCCACCUCAGAAGAAAUAAGGAAGGAAGGAGGAGGGUGUUCCCACGGCUCUUCAACCAGGCGGGCUCUUCAGCCUACAUCCCCAUCUCAUCAAGUAAAAGGGAUUUUUCAACUGGACCAACCAGAUGGUUUAACAGUGCACUCCCACACCAUUCAACUACGCAAGGGAGAUACACUUAACAUAUGCAGUCGUAUAACACCUACUAACAUUUUCAAACAUUAAACCUUUAAAAAAGAGUUCUAAAGAAAUAGAAGCUUGAAGUAUCAUCUCUCAAGUAUAUAGACACUACUUCAUGGUGUGGUAAUAUAUGCAUAUAGAAGCUAGUAAACACCUCCAGGAGAUGCAAAAGGAAUUAGAACUGCCACAAGGUGCAAGCAAAACCUUGAGUCUCCAUUGAUGGUGAAGUAUUUUCACUAUUUGGCAUGUCUUCUCUAGUACCUAGAGCAGUGUGUUGCAUGCAGUAGCAAGUUUAUAAACAUUUGCGAGUAAAACAUCCAACCUGAUACUCAAGGUAAUCAAUCUGCAUCCCAUUUUGGAUGAGAAUAUUUGCAACUUUGAAGGUUAUUUUAAGGACAGCAGCAGAAGAAUUAUGGCAGCUUCUUUAAAAUAUGAAGACUUCAAAGUUAUUUAUCCAAACCAACCUGAUCAUUUCUUAAGAGUGAAUAUACCUUGGAAGAUGUGUCCUGCCUUUAGUAGCGUCACAAUGGAUUACAUCCUCUAUAAAGCAGUCUGGGGUGAGAAAAUCGAAUUUGGACACCGUUGAGGAGACUAUUGCAGUCAUCCAAGCUCAAGAUGGUGGAGCUUCAUCCUUGAGAAUAACCAAUGGGGAUAGAUUUAAGAGACACUUAGAGUCUGCAGCCAACAGGGCUGAAUGAGCAGAGAGUUAUGAUUCAGAAGAUCAUCUAAAAUUGAACAGCUGCCACUACUGGCAAUAAGUCUACUGCCAUUUGGUAGAUAACCUUCUUAUCACACAGAAAAAUAUCAGUACAGACAAAUAGACUGCAAAGAAAAUGAGACCAUCAGCAAAGAAGAUAAAGAAGUUUGUACAAAGCAACUUUUUAUAAAUGGAUGGCUGUCAGGCAAAAAUAAAUUUCCUGUGGACAAGACCAAGAGCAAGGCAAGAGGAAAAUAAACAUGUUUAAAC
rnacentral:sRNA from 1 species